CGGCCGCGCCGUACGACUUGGAUCGAGCGCCCGGAGCCGCUGCUGCGGUUGGCCCGCAAAACCACGAGUGCCCACGCACAGUAUUUUAUUACGUCAGCGAGGUCGGGCUACACCUAUGACCUAGUAUCUCACCUGUUUACCAACCGUGCGUGCGUGCGCGUCAGUCAGAAGCUCGGAUAUGGAUAGGGCAGCCGCCGAGGAGAUGUGCAGUGCGGCCGCGGCCGGCGUCCUAGAGCACGCCGGUGAAGGCGUCUCCGGCCUCCGGGGAGGGCAGGGUCUAACGCGCGCUAGCUAGCUGCACCGCUGGCCCGGCCGUCGUGUCUCGCCCGCAGUCGCACCACCAUCAGAUCGAACGUCGUCAGAUCCAUAUCCAGGGAGGACCGACUAUUUGCUUAUGCUUAUGUUCUAUGAUAGGAGGAGUAGCAGCAAAGUACUAACAGGGUAGGAUGUGAUGCUGGAAGACAUGAUGAAGCAGCUAUCUGCCUGCCUGCCUAAAUUAUGAUGGAUUUCUGUCAGGUUUCUUGUGUUGCAUCUGAAAACAGAUCGCUGUAUCUAAGCAGAUUCUGUUCUGCAGUUUGUAUGUAGGCUCCGGACCGGAUCGGCUCCUUCCUCUCCAAAAUUUUAACGAGCCAGGGAAAGAAAGUUCUUCGCCAAAACCCUUACCUGGGAGAGGCCUUAUCCAAGGACGGGAGAAAGAAUAGACCAUCAACAAGCACCCAAUCACGGCCGCGUCCUUCUCUUCGUAUGGUAACCACUGUUGAAAUCUGAAAUCCGCUCUUAUUGGGUUUAAUGGCUGCAGGUCAUGUUUCGGUAAUGUUCAUGAGAUGAAUGCAGGCGCAAGAGUAAUUAAAAGGUAGAGCUGAUGAGUGUGGCUUUAUUCACAUGAUUUCUCCGCACGAGCAAUGUCUCCCUACACAUCUGUUUAUGAGCAUCUUCUUAUAUGUGGUCAUGAUCCUCUUUUAUCAUUUUAUAUCUAUCCAUGAUCUAAUGCUCGUUGCAUUGCAGCCUACGGCAUAUGAUCUUGUUCUCGUCGUAUGGCAUCAGUCGGCACCCCUGUGAAACGUACGUCUUACACCCUGAAAGUAGAUCCAUUCCUUAGUGUGAUAUUGGUAUACUCAUCUUUACUACUCCCCCCGUUCCAUAAUAUAAGAGUGUUUUUGACACUACACUAGUGUCAAAAACACUCUUAUAUUACCUAUUUUAUUACAAUAGCAUUUUACCUAUUUCUCCCCGUUGCCUUGCUUCAGUGUCAUAUCACCUAGCUGCCAGGCUGACGUGUGUAACUAGAUGUUCACCUAACUUGUCAGAAUCCCUACAACUUAAUACAAAUUACAAAAACUGAAAAGGCACCCUCAUUCAUAACAAGGCCAAGAUAUGCAACAUGCUGAGUAACACAACACUAGUUAAAGGUCCCAACAGGGGAAGACCAGAGUCCAUGUAUCAGAACAACAAUUUUGAUUUCAGCCACCCCCAGAACACGCUGUAGAGGUCUCCAUAACUUUUCUUUUUCUUGACCGAAGGAGCGCACAGCUCCCAAAGACAUCCAGCAGUUCCUCAAGUGUCUCAUACAUGGCCUAAAUGAUUUACUUGCCGCUAACCAACAAAUUAGCCAAGGAUAAUUUUGUCCUAACUUCUCUAUAAUUAUAUAAUUUGGUCAUUUUGCUGAAAAUAAUACCCCUUACAUAAAGGGAUGGAGAGAUUACAUAGCAGAGCUUGCUAUGAAAAAGGAACCAAUCAAAUCCCCAUCCGGGGCACCUACCCCUCAUGGUCUCUUGUCGUUAAGUCGUUUGCCCUACAUAGGGCCGACCCUGGUCUUGAGUUGUGGGAGUUGGUAUCAACAAAAGGCAUCUCUCAAAUGGAUUUGAUCGUCUAUCGUGACUAAGUAGAAGCAUCGGUUCCACAUAGUGAGAGCCUAGUCUUGCAUAGGCGCAAGCAAAAUUGUAGGCGCUCAUCCUUACAGGUGAUUACCGCUAGCUUUUAAAUCCAACCUCUAAGGAAAACAUUGUAAAAAAGAGAGAAUGAGAUUGAUUUGCACCUCGUGACCAACUUUCAACUUGAUGGACAUCAAGUUUGUAUUGUAGAACACCGAACCACUUCAACUUUUAUUUUCACAACACCAACUUUCGUCUAGUUUACACAUGGGUUUCCACUUAAACAAGCAAACCUUCAACCGGUCUAAAAUCCAACUUUCAAUCGAAUAACUUGGGGAAUUUUACUAGGAAGUCGAUAGCUUUUAGAUGCGACUCUAUAAUCUCCCAUGUUCAUCUACAUUUCAACCAAGACCACAAAUGAUGUGGCACAUGUACCAUAUCUACUAAUUUCCAUAAAAAAACUCAAGCUAGAGUUGUCCAACUCCAAUGCAAAAGGCAUCAACAAAAUUUUCACACAGAAUAGUGAAGUCCCUUUGGGACAAGCAGAACAAGGCAAAAAAGAAAAAGGAAAUGACCAACCAAUGCAAACUAUUUUUUUGCGAGGGAACCAGUGCAAACUACUGACACAUUGCAAGAGCAUAAAUGUUCGGUUUUAAAAUUCCAAUGAUGGUCUUCAAUGAAAGUGAUUAUAUUAUAUGAUUAUUGGCUGAUUUCUGCCAGCAUUAAACAUAUUCACAUUUUAUGCAUAUUUGCAAAAACAAAACAAAAAACAUCAUGGAAAUCAGGGAGAAUGUUAAAGGUUGAAGAUUCUAGAGGAACUAGUGUUGGAAGUGUAAUGUAUGUCAGUAUGUGCACUAAGUCUCGUUGUAUAGUCUGUACAAGAGCAUGUAUAUAUACAUCUAUAUUCAAUCACUGAGAAAGCAUGCAAUAAAUCCACAAAAAAGCCAGUUAAAUCUAACGUACUCCCUCCUUUCGGAAUUACCGCGACAAGUAAUUUAAAACGGAGGGAGUAGAUACUAAGACGGACACAUCGGUGCUACAUAAGGUAAGUAUAUGGUGAAGGAACCACACAAACUCGAUCCCCUGCCCCCCGCGUCGCCUAACCUAGGCGACACGGGGGGCGAUCUGCCGCCGCCGGCCCAAAGGCCUCCUCCCACGUCCUGUCUCCCCUGUCGCCGCCGGAGGCCACGCCCGUAGCAUGGCCUGUGAUGGCGGCGAGAGGGCUUUCCCCCUCGCGUGGUGCCCGUGUCUUCCCCUGGCGGCGGCGGUGCACGGAACUGCGGGGCACUGGCGGCGUGGAGCAGCGGGUUCCCGGCAGCGAGUGUGACAGCGGCGUCAGCACAGGCCCGAUACCGCGACAGAGGAGCCCCUGUGGCGGCGGCCUAGAUCGCGGAUCUCGCCGUACCCAGAUGGGCUUCGGCGGGCUGGCGGAUCUGGUGAUCGUCUACAGGCGGGGCAUGGUGGGCCUGACGACGCCGGCCUAGGCACCAUGGUGGUGCCAUGGUCGGCCAGGCGGUGGCGGCCUGGAUUCUCCGUCCAGUCCCCGACAGCGACGGCGGCGGUUCGUGUACAAGUUGCUUGAUGGAGGUCCUCUGUUUAGAUCCGGGUGAAAACCUGGCCAAGGCCGGCGGUGACGGCGCUGGUAUGCGGCAUUUCCUUCUUGAAGGCAUCGCCAAUGAGAAGUUCAAGACAGCUAUCUGCUACCUCCGGGGGAAACCCUAGAUCAGUAGAUCGGAUGGCGGUGGCGCGUUGGUGUCGUUUCCUCCUUGGGGGCGUCAUUCUUGGAGGCGUACACGGGAUCGAGGGACCAGUGGGCGGCUUUCUUGGUGGAGUGGUGCUUCAUCCUACACAUUGAUAACGGCGGAUCUCGCCGGCGUGGCACAGUGGAGACUCGGCGCCCGAUGUAUGAGGAUGGACUCGUGCAGGAGGACGACGUUGUCUGGCGUCGUGGUGGCGUCGAUGGCAGAGAUAACUGGCACGGUAGAUGCAACAGUACAACUCUGAAGAUGAAUUGGUGGCACGUGGCUGCGGCGGCCUCAUAACCGGCAGGCGUCCUGGUUGAGGAGUGCGCCGGAAUGGUGGGUGCCCCAUACCCGGCAGGCGUCCUGGUUGGGAUCUCAGGUCUUAGAUGCUAGGUUUAGCUGCGAGGUCUGUUUGGUAUUAGGCCCAGACUAUCAGCAUCCCUACAUCAACUGGAUAGGAGUAGCGACAGAUGUUGCCUAAACGGUGGCUUUAGUCUUACUGUUGUACGACUUUAUAAGGUCUUAUGUGAAGAAUUAAUAAAAUGAGUGCGUGCAUCGUCCAGAUGCAGAGGCCGGGAGUCCUCCUCCAUUUCUUAAAAAAAGGUAAAUAUUGUCCGUCCUGGAAUGUUGUCAAAGUCCGGAAACUCAGAGUCCAAAACUAGGAGGUCAAAACAAACCACAAAAAUGGAUAUGUUUGAUGUAUAUUUGAUCGAUUGGAGUGGUUUCGGCGUGGUUUUGAAUGAGACUUACACGGUGGGAAAAAAAGUUUGGACCAUUGACCUCGGCACGGCAGCCUCGACGUUGACAUGUAAUCCCUCUGCCGAGUUUUGUUGGCGACAGGCAGAGCAUCGCCUUCCCGCAGCUGUUACAUGACCUCGGGCCUCGCCGCAAGAAGACCGACGGUGGCGCAGAGGGGCUCGUGGGGCCCGAACCUGCCAUGACUGGGUUCAGUGCCAGACGGAGCACGCUCCGAGCGAACGACAGCGAGGUCAGCAGUCGCGGCCGUGCCUGGCCGAGCCGCAUCGGCGCCACGUAGAACCGCAGCAUGCCGUUGCCGGCGAGUGCCGCGCCCUGCGGUUCUCUCUGCUCCAGCACGUUACGCACAGCUCCUCCCGCCUCCGCAUCACGUUCCCGUCGACUAGCACCGCGCCUCGAAGCGCCGUGCUCCGCAACUCCCGCCCGCCGGCCGGGACCUCACCGGGAGCUUGUGCCUCGUCUGCCAUCCAUUGACGGCCGGUGCGCGCGAGCUCGUGCGCAUCCAGCGUCUUAGUGCCCGCCACUCCCGUCGAUCUACGUGGCCGCGUCCGGAUGCUGUAUUCGCCAACGUCGACGGAGCUGCAAAGUUCUGGGCGCGGAUACCGGCGGUCCUGGGCCCACACCAUGGUUCACCCGGAGCUAGCUCGCUCAUUGUCGUCAGGAGGUCGCCGUUUCGAGGCACAAGAUACACGGCGGGCUGGCUCACAUGGACCCUGUUCUGGCGAGGUCGACGGUCAAACCUGUGCGCGUGACCGUAGGAGUACGUAGGGUGGAGCAUAAGCUACCAAAUCAAUCGUGCCCGGCCAGUAUAAGAGCAAUCUUCAGCCAUUCGGCCCCCAACCAAAUUCGACGAAAUUCAGUAAAUUUGGACCAAAUAUAGGCGAUUUCAUUGAUAUUUGGCGAAUUUAUAUAGA